UGAGGAACGGGGGGGCUGGGGGGGGCUAGGGGUGAGGAAUUCGGGGGGGUUUGGGGGGGCUAGGCAAGAAGAGUAUAGCUAUAAUACAUGCCUUGCUACUGCACUGAUGAGCUUAUAGCUCAGCAAAGACCUGUUGGAGGGGAGGGGGCAGCCUCAUGGCUACCUGGAGAAACAAUUCGUAAGAGUUUCCACGGAGGUGUGGAUAUAUGUAUCCACAUAUUCCUUUGAUCUGUUCGGCAAGGAUAAACUAGGGCUGAGGGCCAGGGAGAGGGGGAAGGAGCGGGGAUAAAUACAGAGGAAGAGGGAGGGACUGGGGAAAGGCCAGUGUAAGGAUUGUGGGUUUUUUUCUGAGUAGCCAGAGAGGCACAACUGGGAAUCUCACUUUGGUUUGGAUGGGGUUACUAAGGGACCUAUGAACAACAGACUACUGGGGGGGAAACACUAGAAACUAGUUAGGGAGCUAUGGUGGCAAUCCGAGCUAAUUGCCUUGGGUGGGAAAAGAGAGAGUGGCUACAAUCCAUGCCUUGCUGCUGGGUUAACAAGUUUAUAGAGUUCAGCAAAGACCUGAUGGAAUGGAGGCGGCAGCCUUGCAUCUAUCUGGAAAAUAAAAAAAAAUAUAAAUAAAUAAAUAAAUAAAUAAAAAAGCAGUUCAAAGGAAUAGCUUUGACAAAGACAAUAAGGUAGGCAUGUACUCAUCUAUUCCUUCAACCUAUUCAGCGAGGAUAGGAUGGGGUAGAGCCAGAGGGAGGCAAGGAGCAGAGGUAAAGGUGCAGGGGUAGGGGUGGGAGUAAAAUCAAAGCUGCUAGACAUUGGAAGCAUUAAAGAGGCAGAGAAAACAGAAAUCACUACAGUGCUAAGCAUGGAGGCUAAAGAGAAGCGUGAAAGACGACUCCAAGAUAUUCAGUUGGAGCCGCUAGAAGUUGGGAGUUUCUGGUGUCAAUAGAGCCUGGAAAAACCUGGAGUGGAACCUGGUUGAGUUCUGAAGGGACUGGAUACAGGAGAGGAUCUGCACGCUGGAGAGCAGGCAUGUCUGUGCCCUUGGAGCUCCAGCAAUGCAGAGGUCUUCUCCUCCAGUCAGUACUGAAAGUCUUGAGUGUGCCACAAGAGCCUAGCAAAUGUGGCACGGCAAAGGGGACCGGGUAGUCCCAUGGGAGGGGACCCAGAGAGCGCCUCACUGCUCACAAGCAGCAGCUACCACCGUGAAUCGAAGCCAGCAAAACGCCUUCCAGAUUCCCCCCGGGUGAGAUGACAGAGACUGCUGUGGUCCUCAGGGUGUGAUGGGAGUGUGUCCUGUUGCAAUCCAAAGAGGAAGAAGACUGUCUGCCUGGGCCUCCUUGGUGCAUGCCCAGCCACAAGUCGACAGUACUUGGCAGGGUUGGAAAACCUGCCCAGGUCUUCAGAAAACAGCCCAAGUGCACCACUCUUCGCUGGGUAAGGAUACCCAACCAGUUCCUUGGAGCUGUCGCAUCCAUGCUAAAAUCGACAGUCUGAAGAAAGCCAACUGGUUUAUGGGUCUGCAGCUUCCCUGGGCCGCCACCCUCUGGGGCCAUCAAUCCAGCCACUCAGUGCACAGCCACCGCUGUCCACGUUGACGAUGCCUUCCCUGCAGGGAGCUCCAUUCUGCCCCAGCAACACAGUAAGGGCAUCCAUCCGCCCAAUCACUCCCACACAGCCAUAGCCAUGAACCACAGUGAGGACCCCAGCUGGAUUAUCAAUGUGUAGCUCUGCAGUUUCACCAUCUUCAGGACAAGGACACCUGCCAUGGUAACUGGUAACUUUCACAGCCAUCUUUAAGGUAAUGACAUCAAGAUAGGCUACUCCAUUAUAAGAUAAGGCUGGCUGGCCAGGUCCUCACUCUACCAUUGACCACAUGGUACCACCCUCAACCCGCAUUCUUGUUUCUCACUCAAAGCAGUGCUGCUGUCACAGAGAGCAGAAAUCCAACUACAUUUUCAGUGGGAUGCAACAUGGCUUCCUGAGGGCAAGGAAGCCCUGUUGAGUCCUCCAGAUGUAGUAGCAACCGGAUGGAAACUUGGCUGGUUUUAUUCACACCUCCACUCUGCCACCAACCCAAAGGCAGAGAUGUCUGCCCAAGUCAUCUUGGUGCCUAUGACAUCCAUGCGGCUGCCCGGGAGGUGAGAUGCCCUACUGGGUUAUCACCACCCAGUGCUACUGUAUCAACCCCAGAAUAAAGAUGUCUACCCUUGGUCUUGAGGGUGACUGUGCUAAUGCAGCUACUCAGGCGAGUACAGUAAGCUCCACAGCGUGCCCAUCUGCAACGAACAAACACCAAGCCAGGCUGUGGAUGUGUGAAUGCAGCUGUGACGCCGUCUGCAGGGCUACAGAGCCUAUCCAGGUCCUUAGCAUGCCACCCAGUGUGGCUAUCCACAAUGCAAAGACUCCACCGGGCCAUACCAUAGCUCUCAGGACAAAGACAUCCGCCCAGCUCCCUGCUGUGAGACGUUCUGUGGAAGUAAACGCUCUGAUCCUGAUGCACAAACGCACCCGUUAACAGACCGGAGGGUUUGAAAGCCCACCCACAUUCUUAGAGCAGGUCCUGAGAGCAUGGCCCCGGGGAUGCAACUAUUCACAGAAUAAGAGCAAUCCAGAGGGUUACCGACACAGGGCUCCACGGUAACAUGGUGGCACACAAAGCUGAGGUCAUCCACCCAGCUACAUACAGAGUAAAAACAUCUGCCUGGAUCCUGGGUGUGCAGAUGUAGCUGUGACGCAUCUUUACAGAUCCCAGAUCUUAAUGCGCAGCCGCAACAAUGAGGUCACCGUCAGAGAGAGGGCGCUCCACUGCGCCACCAUCCACAAGAUGGCGCCACCAUCCACAAGAUGAGGCUAUCUGCCUAGAUUCUUACUGCGCAGCCGCCGCAAUGCGACAAUGAAAGGACGCUUUUCGCUGUAUCACCAGCUCCAGAAAAACAUCAGCCCGGAUCCUUAAUGCCCAGCCACCACAGCGCAUAUAUCCACAUGGUAAAGGUGUUCGGUCAGUCGUACCACCAUCCUCAACCUUACUGAGCAGCUAUGGCCGUACAGCUCCCGCGGGUUCUAAAUACUUGACUAUACCGCCAUAUCUGGGGCUAAGAUCCGCUCCGAUCCUUAGUACGCGCCACCACUAUGCAGCAGCCCACAGAAUAAAGAAGGACGUUCCGCGGUGCCCCCAUCCCUACAACAAAACGCGGCAGUCGCAAUGUGGUUACGCGCAGGAGGAGGACGCUUGGAAACCAUCCGUGGGAUAAGAUCCUCUUAGGCCUUUCAAACACAGCUGCUAUGACGCAGUUAUCCACAAGAUAAGGAAUUCUGUUGUAUCAACAUCCCCAGGAUAAGAUCCACUCGGGCAUCUGGUAUGCAAACACCACAAUGCAGGCAUCCACCGGGUAGUACCGACUCUGUUAAACCAUCAUCCAAAAUAAGGACAUACUCUUAAUUCCUUAGUGCGCAAGCAGCAGCAGUGCAAGGUAAAGUGCUCUGAGAUUAUCAGUGCACAGCUCCGCUGCGCCACCAUCCGCGGGAGUAAGAAUACCACACAAAACCUUACUGCGCCAUUAAAGCUAUCCACCCCCACAAGGCCGUUUCGCCGGGUAUCCGUGCGCGGCCCCCCUGGGCCUCUAUCCGCAGGGUAACGACAUCCGUUCAGUCACUGAAGUGUAGCCACAAAUAUGUAUAGUUCCCCAGGAUCAAGAUGACAAAAAGCUGGGCAGGUAAUGGCUGGGUAAGGGCAUACGCCCAAGUCCCAGCCAGGCGGCUGGGAACCUUCCAUGGCUGAUCAUUAUGUGACGACCACAAUGCACCUAUCCACAGGGUGAUGGCGAGCCUCUGUGCCAGCGUCUCCAGGGUGAAAAGAUCGGCCAGGCUUCCAGUCGGUUCGAGAGCUGUAGGGUUCUGGGCUCGCAGUUUCCUCAGGGCCGCCCACGCACGAGCUGCACCAACACAGACAUCUGGAUUUUUUCGGCGCCUCCGCCGUCUGCCCAUCAUUCGGCCACAUUGUUAUGAGAGACCUCAAGCAGAAGACUCCCGGCUCCGCGGUCCGUGCUGUAGGUCUUCUACCCGACCAUCUUCAACAAAUAGGGCACGGCUCUUCCUGGAGGAACGGGACCAUCCACAAGAACGGCAGCAGCGUACAGAUACAUGGUGCGGGCACUCGGAUCGGCUACCACACACAGCCUAACGUCGCAAUAAGGACAGCCUCUGGUUCCUCUUCGGUCGUGGACACAGGCGCGGUCAAGAUGUCCGCUCAGCUCCCAGCCGUGCCGCAGUCUGCAGGGUUGGAGACGUCUGGCGAGAUCUGGUGCGGAGGCGGUUGUGACGUAGUCUGCAGGGCGAGUCCGCCAAGAUCUCAGUGCGCAGGCGCGGCAAUGCGGCACUCUGCAGGGUAGGGAUGCGCUCUAUGGCGCCAUCUACCAGGUAAGAAGGAUAGUCCAAGUCCUUUAUGCGUGGGCACAAAGGCCAGCAGUUCUUACGCGGUGAAGCCGCAUAGGUAAUUAGCGCGGCUCCACUGUGGCAGCAUCUUCAGGGUAUCGGUGCGUGGCUGCGUUGGGGUCUGAGGCCUAGGGAUGCUCCGCUGAGUCGGCAGGGAAGAUCGUCCAUGCGGAUACUCCGAACACAAUUGCUGCGGCAGCAUGGCGACCAGCCGAUCUCAGUGCGCAGGCGCGGCAAUGCGGCAGUGCGGUAUCGAGUGUGUUCUGCGAUGCCAUCUAGCGGGUAAGAAUGACGGCCUAGCUACUCGGUGCGGAGGCACAGAGGGAACAAUGAAACCAGGGUGCCCCAUUGGUGAUUGGCGCAUGGCGCAUGGCGCAUGUCCCAGUGGGACAGCAUCUACCUCGGUUAUCCAUGCUGUCCCACGCGAUCCACAGUUUAGAAUGUCCUCGGGGUGAGAGUAUCCACGUAGUUAGGAUACGACACAAAUGAAUGUCCCACCGGGUCUGCGGGGUGAGGGUGUUCACGCAGGUAUUUAGUACCAGGCGGCGGCAGCAAAAUGCUCAAUGGAAGGAACCUAGCCGGAUCCACCAGUGAGCAUGGGGAACAAACGGCAUUGCCACGCCAGGCCCUUCCCAGAGCUCACCCCUCUCUGCCCCUCCUGUGUGAGGGUUGGGCUUCCUCGCUGUUGUUGUGCAGACUCUGGGACACUAAAGACUGUGCUUUUGCAGUGGUAACCUGGGUGCCCUAGUGAAGGAGGCCAGGGGUGACCGGCGUACCCCUACCGGGCGGCCGAACCAAUGCUUUAAUCGCAGACUGGUGCGUGCUUUGCAAAACCACAAGAGGGACCACGUCCUCAAAAACGAGCUUUAAGAAAGCUUCUGGAUUAUGUCACCCAGAAAGCUAAGCUACGGGGUUUCCAAUCGCACACCCAAGGGCAAUUUGUGUGUUCAAGCUACGGGGUUUCCGAGCGCACACCAAAGGGCAAUUUGUGUGUUCAAGCUACGGGGUUUCCAAGCGCACACCAAAGGGCAAUUUGUGUGUUCAAGCUACGGGGUUUCCGAGCGCACACCAAAGGGCAAUUUGUGUGUUCAAGCUACGGGGUUUCCGAGCGCACACCAAAGGGCAAUUUGUGCUUUCAAGCAACGGGGUUUCCGAGCGCGCACCAGAGGGCGAUUUGUGACGCACUAAUAAUUUCUAACCAAAAGAUGAAAUUUCAAAGUCCCACCUUUUUCUAUUUCUAAAAAAAUCCAGCAAUAUGGCAUCUUGUAUUGGGAGAGCUUUAAGACAAAGGAUUUUCAUCAUAUUUGUUGACCGCGCUGGGGAUCAUACUAGAGACUAUGGUGCCGCAAGGAAUGCCCUCCCCCCACCAGGGAAAAGCCCCCAUGUCCUGGAUGUUCUCGUUCAUUCUUCAGUAUUUACAGAGAAGAGCCUAUUGUUAGGUUCACAUAUGAGGAAACAGAGGCUAGAAAUCAUGCCAGAACCUUCGGCCAGGAAGAAAUUGCACUACUCAGGUGAAAAUAAAGAGACGUAAUAGAUGUGUGUAAAUUUAAUCGAAAAUCCUAACCUGAGCAUCAGUGAAACUGAAACUCCCAUAUAUAUGAGAAGUCAGAAUCUGCAUUGGCAUAUCCUGAAAAUAAAUGUAUGUUCAAUAAAUGAAAUACCCAACAACAAACAAACAAAAGAACAGACUAUAGGAUGAACAUGCUUUCUGCGCCGGUGGCCAAGCACACAUUCCCUUGUUUUGGUUCGGUUUUAUCCAGGGCCAGCAUUACCUCUCUCCUCAGCCCUCGGCUCAUGACAUGGUGGAGCUGGGAAUGGGAGGGCCGGCCCUAUAUAACUGCAGAGGCCUGCAGGAGAGGAGGGGGCAGGAGAGGAGGGGGCAGGCGAGGAGGGGGCAUAGGCUCCUGGGACACUGGAGGUCUGAGUCUCAUUUGCAUAGACGAUGCUUCUUGAGGGGUAGUUCAGUGCUCAGUUUGCAACCUGCAGGCUGUGGCUGGAUCCCAAUGUCCCUGGGGCUCCUAUUUCACUGAGUUGUGACACAGAAUGUUUCUUUUUUUUUUUUUUUUCUUUUUAGCUGAGGCUCGAACCCAGGGCGCUUGCUAGGCAAACGCUCUACCACUGAGCUAAAUCCCCAACCCUUACACAGAAUGUUUCUUAAGAGCCAGAGAACUGUCUGGUUUACCGGGAGUUACCAGGAGGACACAGUGCUGACAGCCAAUAGCAAAACAACAACAACAAAAACCGGGGGAGGGGGCGCAAACAGCCAGAGCAACCAACCAGUGAAAAGAACCUGAAGGUCCCCUGCUCUGCUUCUCCCCAAGUGCAGACUGAGAGCCCAGGGUGAGCAGAGAGGUCUCCAUUGUGCUUAGCACCGUGACUCCCUCCUCGGUCCCAUCAGCUCUGUUCUGGACCACUGAGGAAAGUUUAGGAA